CGAUACCGACAGAGGACUCUUCCCCGACGAUCCCGUUCUCGCCGAAUCGUCGGAGGAAGAGCGCCGGAUCAUGACGGUGCCGGCCAUCCCCGGAGGAGAGACCACCUCUUCAGCCAUUUCUUCAGCGCGUGCAACGGUGAUCCACCGUCUAGGGCACGCGAGGGGUUUGGCUCGCAUCAUUCCCGAUCGAUCAAGUUCCUCUGUCCUUCCUCCUUGAUCCGUUCGAAGGAAGGCGACUCGUGUCAUCACUCGUCGGAGCGGAUCAGACGACGCCGUCUGUAGGCGACGAUUGAGGAAGGUGUCGGAUCAACCUGGGGAGGUAUCUCGCCUGAGUAGGUCUCGAUCUUCCUCCUCCUUGCAGCUGAUUGGGGUUUUGGCUGGGAGAUUUGGGAAUCAAUUCAGAUUUUGGAAAGAAGAGGAGUAAGGAACUUGGUAGCUGUCGGCAGGAUUCUGGUGAGGGCUGUAGGUUUUUCAUCCACUGCUACCUCUCAAGGACCUUGAUCUGGACGAGCCGCGUGACGUGGGUGAUUCUGUAGAUACGGGAUAUAUCGAGGCGAGUAUUUCUUCCU